GCGGGGAUGGCGUAACCGGUAGCCGCAGCGGGCUUAAAACCCGCCGCCUGGAAACAGGCGUACGGGUUCGAGUCCCGUUCCCCGCACCA
rnacentral:tRNA from 1 species